CGGCGUGCAAACACAUGCAAGUCGAGCGAGAAAGUUCCCUUCGGGGAGCGAGUAAAGCGGCGCACGGGUGAGUAACACGUAGGUAAUCUACCUCAAGGUCUGGAAUAACUGGAGGAAACUCUAGCUAAUGCCGGAUAAGACCACAGCCUCUUCGGGGGCGGUGGCCAAAGGCGGCCUCUUCUUGAAAGCUGUCGCCAUGGGAUGAGCCUGCGGCCCAUUAGCUUGUUGGUAAGGUAACGGCUUACCAAGGCUUUGAUGGGUAGCUGGUCUGAGAGGAUGAUCAGCCACACUGGGACUGAGACACGGCCCAGACUCCUACGGGAGGCAGCAGUGGGGAAUAUUGCGCAAUGGGGGAAACCCUGACGCAGCGACGCCGCGUGAGUGAUGAAGGCCUUCGGGUCGUAAAGCUCUGUCGUAAGGGAAGAACGUGCUGCAGGUUAAUACCCUGCAGCAGUGACGGUACCUUACAAGAAAGCACCGGCUAACUCCGUGCCAGCAGCCGCGGUAAUACGGAGGGUGCAAGCGUUGUUCGGAAUUACUGGGCGUAAAGGGCUCGUAGGCGGCUCAGCAAGUCGAUCGUGAAAACCCGAGGCUCAACCUCGGGACGCCGGUCGAUACUGCUGUGGCUAGGGUCCGGUAGAGGAGAAUGGAAUUCCCGGUGUAGCGGUGAAAUGCGCAGAUAUCGGGAGGAACACCAGUAGCGAAGGCGGUUCUCUGGGCCGGUACCGACGCUGAGGAGCGAAAGCGUGGGGAGCAAACAGGAUUAGAUACCCUGAUAGUCCACGCUGUAAACGUUGGGCACUGGGUGUGGCGGAUUUAUCAACGUCUGCUGUGCCGAAGCUAACGCGUU
rnacentral:rRNA from 1 species